GGCCGGGACAAAGCCUGGGCCGGGCCUGCGCUUCCGUUCGCUUGACUGGCUGCGCUUGUUUUCAGGGUUUUGGUCUGAAAACGGAUCUUACCUGCGCAGAGCAAAAUCGGUUGUAGAUUAUAUCCACGAAAAUUCCUUCUAUUAAAAUGAAUUUCAAGUCCCACCUACCCUGGAAGCAGAAAGAGAGAGAAGAGAGAGAGUAAAGAGAAAGAGAAAAGAAAGAGAAGUUGAAAAAGAGAAAGAAAACCAAGAAAGAAAGAGAAAAAAACCGAAAAUAAAUGGACAAGAAAGAAAAGUCACUGGGAUCCUGGACUACGGCACUGCUCCAGGCAGGCCUGGUUAUCCUGCUUGAGGCAGCAAUCCUCUUGAGCCUAGUGAAAUGCAACUGGCUGUACCUCAAUGAUGUUGCCCUGAGAUUCUGCCAGUCGAGGUAUUACUUCAAUCUCCUGAGACCAGCCUCUACCUCCAGAUCCAGGGAGGCCAACGUGCCAUGCAUCCCUGGAGCAUGAAACCCAGGAUGGGCCGCCUUCCAGCCUCCCACAGCUGUGAUGCAAGUUGAACACAUACAGAGAGACUGCAUCUGCACUGGGUGGUUUUCCUGAGCCUUGGGGAGCAGAAUGCAUGAAUCCCAGAUGGAGGAAGUGGACCAUGAGUCAAAGGAUGUAAGUGGCCUCUGGAACCUACAAAGGGCUCAUAAACAGAAGAGACUUGCUUGUCUCAGAUGAAACUUUGGACUGUGGACUUUUGAGUUAAUGCUGAAAUAAGACUUUGGGGGACUGUUGGGGAGGCAUGAUUGGUUUUGAAAUGUGAGGACAUGAGAUUUGGGAGGGACCAGGGGCAAAAUGAUAUGGUUUGGCUGUGUCCCCACCAAAUCUCAUCUUGAAUUGCAGCUCCCAUGAUCCCCACAUGUGGGAGGGACCCGGGGGGAGGUAACUGAAUCAUGGGGGUGGGAUUUUCCCAUGCUGUUCUCAUGAUAGUGAAUAAAUCUCAUGAGAUCUUAUGGUUUUAUAAAGGGCAGUUUCCCUGCACGGGCUCUCUCUUGCCCGCCACCACGUAAGACAUGUGUUUGCUCCUCCUUCACCUUCUGCCAUGAUUGUGAGGUCUCUCUAGCCGUGUGAAACUGUGAGUCCAUUAAACUUCUUUUUCUUUAUAA
rnacentral:lncRNA from 1 species